CUACGGGCUGCUGCAGUGGGGAAUAUUGGGCAAUGGGGGAAACCCUGACCCAGCAACGCCGCGUGAAGGAAGAAGGUCUUCGGAUUGUAAACUUCUUUGAUCAGGGACGAAAAAAAUGACGGUACCUGAAGAACAAGCCACGGCUAACUACGUGCCAGCAGCCGCGGUAAUACGUAGGUGGCAAGCGUUAUCCGGAUUUACUGGGUGUAAAGGGCGUGUAGGCGGCUCUGCAAGUCAGAUGUGAAAUUCCCAGGCUUAACCUGGGCGCUGCAUCUGAAACUGUAGAACUUGAGUACUGGAGAGGAUAGUGGAAUUCCUAGUGUAGCGGUAAAAUGCGUAGAUAUUAGGAGGAACACCAGUGGCGAAGGCGGCUAUCUGGACAGUAACUGACGCUGAGGCGCGAAAGCGUGGGGAGCAAACAGGAUUAGAUACCCGUGUAGUC
rnacentral:rRNA from 1 species